rnacentral:tRNA from 1 species
GGCGUUGUGGCCGAGUGGUAGGCCCAAGUUCGCAAAACUUGGUACAAUGGUUCGAAUCCAUUCGGCGCCU